rnacentral:tRNA from 1 species
ACUUAAUUAGUUUAAUUAAAAUUUUGAUUUGUGAUAUCAAGGAUGUUAUAAAAUUAUUUACAUUAGGUU